AGCNUGUAGUUUGAUCCUGGCUCUAUGCCCGAACGGCUUGUAAGGCGUGCCUAAUACAUGCAAGUCGAGCGAACAGAAAAGGAGCUUGCUCCUUUGACGUUAGCGGCGGACGGGCGAGUAACACGUGGGCAACCUACCUAUAUAGUUUGGGAUAACUCCGGGAAACCGUGGGCUAAUACCGAAUAAUCUAUUUUACUUCAUGGUGAAAUACUGAAAGACGGUUUCGGCUGUCGCUAUAAGAUGGGCCCGCGGCGCAUUAGCUAGUUGGUGGGGUAAUGGCUCACCAAGGCGACGAUCCUGUAACUGGUCUGACGAGGAUGAUCAGUCACACUGGAACUGAGACACGGUCCAGACUCCUACGGGAGUGCAGACAGUGGGGAAUAUUGGCACAAUUGGGCGAAAGCCUGAUCCAGCCAUGCCAGCGUGUGUGAAGAAGNGUCUUCGGAUUGUAAAGCAACUUUAAGUUGGGAGGAAGGGCAGUAAAUGCUAAUACCUUGACUGUUUUUGACGUUACCGACCAGAAAUAAGCACCGGCUAACUCUGUGCCAGACAGCCGACGGUAAAUACGGAAGGGUGCAAAGCGUUAAUCGGAUUACUUGGGCGUAAAGACGACACACAGGCGGGCA
rnacentral:rRNA from 1 species